rnacentral:lncRNA from 1 species
UUUCUUUCUUUCUUUUUUUUAACAGCUUGAGUUCCACUUCUUACAUAUGUAGACCUGUGGCAAACAAUUUUCCCUUGUACUCUUGCCAGUAUUAAGGGUAUUCCUGGAGAAACCCAUUCCUGCCAUCCUCGUUUUGGAGACAGAGAGAGAAUUUGGAAAAAAAAACAAAUAAAAAACCCAAAACAACAACAACAACAACAACAACAACAACAACAACAACAACAAAAAGAAUAAGAGAGAAUAUGAGAGAGAGCAGCAGGGAUGGGCAGAGAGAAAAAGAAUCGUAAAUAGUAUCCACACCCAGCAGAGAGCAUCAUAUGGGGCUCAGUCUCAUGACCCUAAGAUCAUGACAUGAGCCAAAAUCAAGAAUUGUACAGUUAACCAACUGAACCAUCCAGGUGCCCCUUUUAAUUUCUGUAACACCUUUGUAAAUACUCUCAUUAAACUCUCUCUACUGAGUGUGCC